rnacentral:rRNA from 1 species
UACGUAGGGGGCAAGCGUUGUCCGGAUUUACUGGGCGUAAAGAGCGCGCAGGCGGUUGUGCAAGUCGGGUGUGAAAGCCCCCGGCUCAACUGGGGAGGGUCACGCGAUACUGUUCGACUUGAAGGCAGGAGAGGGAAGUGGAAUUCCCGGUGUAGUGGUGAAAUGCGUAGAUAUCGGGAGGAACACCAGUGGCGAAGGCGACUUCCUGGCCUGUUCUUGACGCUGAGGCGCGAAAGCUAGGGUAACAAACGGG